AGUAAUACAUCGGAACGUGCCCGAGAGUGGGGGAUAACGAGGCGAAAGCUUUGCUAAUACCGCAUACGAUCUCAGGAUGAAAGCAGGGGACCGCAAGGCCUUGCGCUCACGGAGCGGCCGAUGGCAGAUUAGGUAGUUGGUGGGAUAAAAGCUUACCAAGCCGACGAUCUGUAGCUGGUCUGAGAGGACGACCAGCCACACUGGGACUGAGACACGGCCCAGACUCCUACGGGAGGCAGCAGUGGGGAAUUUUGGACAAUGGGCGCAAGCCUGAUCCAGCCAUGCCGCGUGCAGGAUGAAGGCCUUCGGGUUGUAAACUGCUUUUGUACGGAACGAAAAGACUCUGGUUAAUACCUGGGGUCCAUGACGGUACCGUAAGAAUAAGCACCGGCUA
rnacentral:rRNA from 1 species